rnacentral:rRNA from 1 species
UGGGGAAUAUUGCACAAUGGAGGAAACUCUGAUGCAGCGACGCCGCGUGAAGGAUGAGGUAUUUCGGUAUGUAAACUUCUAUCAGCAGGGAAGAAAAUGACGGUACCUGACUAAGAAGCCCCGGCUAACUACGUGCCAGCAGCCGCGGUAAUACGUAGGGGGCAAGCGUUAUCCGGAUUUACUGGGUGUAAAGGGAGCGUAGACGGCACGGCAAGCCAGAUGCGAAAGCCCGGGGCUCAACCCCGGGACUGCAUUUGGAACUGCUGAGCUAGAGUGUCGGAGAGGCAAGUGGAAUUCCUAGUGUAGCGGUGAAAUGCGUAGAUAUUAGGAGGAACACCAGUGGCGAAGGCGGCUUGCUGGACGAUGACUGACGUUGAGGCUCGAAAGCGCGGGGAGCAAACAGGAUUAGAUACCCUGGUAGU